GAUGAACGCUGGCGGCGUGCCUAAUACAUGCCAGUCGAGCGAACGGACGAGAAGCUUGCUUCUCUGAUGUUAGCGGCGGACGGGUGAGUAACACGUGGAUAACCUACCUAUAAGACUGGGAUAACUUCGGGAAACCGUAGCUAAUACCGGAUAAUAUUUUGAACCGCAUGGUUCAAAAGUGAAAGACGGUCUUGCUGUCACUUAUAGAUGGAUCCGCGCUGCAUUAGCUAGUUGGUAAGGUAACGGCUUACCAAGGCAACGAUGCAUAGCCGACCUGAGAGGGUGAUCGGCCACACUGGAACUGAGACACGGUCCAGACUCCUACGGGAGGCAGCAGUAGGGAAUCUUCCGCAAUGGGCGAAAGCCUGACGGAGCAACGCCGCGUGAGUGAUGAAGGUCUUCGUAUCGUAAAACUCUGUUAUUAGGGAAGAACAUAUGUGUAAGUAACUGUGCACAUCUUGACGGUACCUAAUCAGAAAGCCACGGCUAACUACGUG
rnacentral:rRNA from 1 species